AUUGAACGCUGGCGGCAGGCCUAACACAUGCAAGUCGAGCGGAUGAAGGGAGCUUGCUCCUGGAUUCAGCGGCGGACGGGUGAGUAAUGCCUAGGAAUCUGCCUGGUAGUGGGGGAUAACGUCCGGAAACGGGCGCUAAUACCGCAUACGUCCUGAGGGAGAAAGUGGGGGAUCUUCGGACCUCACGCUAUCAGAUGAGCCUAGGUCGGAUUAGCUAGUUGGUGGGGUAAAGGCCUACCAAGGCGACGAUCCGUAACUGGUCUGAGAGGAUGAUCAGUCACACUGGAACUGAGACACGGUCCAGACUCCUACGGGAGGCCGCAGUGGGGAAUAUUGGACAAUGGGCGAAAGCUUGAUCCAGCCAUGCCGCGUGUGUGAAGAAGGUCUUCGGAUUGUAAAGCACUUUAAGUUGGGAGGAAGGGCAGUAAGUUAAUACCUUGCUGUUUUGACGUUACCAACAGAAUAAGCACCGGCUAACUUCGUG
rnacentral:rRNA from 1 species